GAUGAACGCUGGCGGCGUGCCUAAUACAUGCAAGUCGAGCGAACAGUCGAGGAGCUUACUCCUCUGACGUUAGCGGCGGACGGGUGAGUAACACGUGGAUAACCUACCUAUAAGACUGGGAUAACUUCGGGAAACCGGAGCUAAUACCGGAUAACAUGUUGAACCGCAUGGUUCAACAGUGAAAGACGGUCUUGCUGUCACUUAUAGAUGGAUCCGCGUCGCAUUAGCUAGUUGGUAAGGUAACGGCUUACCAAGGCAACGAUGCGUAGCCGACCUGAGAGGGUGAUCGGCCACACUGGAACUGAGACACGGUCCAGACUCCUACGGGAGGCAGCAGUAGGGAAUCUUCCGCAAUGGGCGAAAGCCUGACGGAGCAACGCCGCGUGAGUGAAGAAGGUCUUCGGAUCGUAAAACUCUGUUAUUAGGGAAGAACAAAUGUGUAAGUAACUAUGCACGUCUUGACGGUACCUAAUCAGAAAGCCACGGCUAACUACGUG
rnacentral:rRNA from 1 species